UACGUAGGGGGCGAGCGUUGUCCGGAUUCAUUGGGCGUAAAGCGCGCGUAGGCGGCUCCGCAAGUCGGCCGUGAAAUCUCCGGGCUCAACUCGGAGGGGUCGGGCGAGACUGCGGGGCUCGAGGUGGGCAGAGGGCAGUGGAAUUCCGGGUGUAGUGGUGGAAUGCGUAGAGAUCCGGAGGAACACCAGUGGCGAAGGCGGCUGCCUGGGCCUGGCCUGACGCUCAUGGCACGAAAGCCGUGGGUAGCAAACAGGG
rnacentral:rRNA from 1 species